rnacentral:lncRNA from 10 species
AAAGAAAAUACAGCAAUACAAGGUCUCCAGAUUUGCCACCCAUGCUGAGUGCCGUGGUGUGAUCAUGGCUUAUUUCAACCUCAACCUCCCCCACUCAAGCGAUCCUCCUGCCUCAGCCUCUGGAGUAGCUGGGACUACAGGCACGCACCACCACACCCAGCCAUAAUUUGCCUCUUGCUGUAACUAAAAGGUCACAAAAACAAAGAAUUCUAAAAAAUCUUCUUCUUAAGUGGAUCUAACAUUGUGAUCGACACCAU